GCGCGCCGUAUGCGGGGAAACUCGCCUGUGCGGUGCAGAGCGGGGGAAAAGCUGGAGAUAGCAUCAAAAGCUUACCUAUCGCUAU
rnacentral:ncRNA from 1 species